rnacentral:hammerhead_ribozyme from 1 species
GAUUAUCUGACGAGUCCCAAACAGGACGAAACAGCUGUCCAGAGC